GACGAACGCUGGCGGCGUGCUUAGCACAUGCAAGUCGAACGGAAAGGCCCUGCUCUUGUGGGGUGCUCGAGUGGCGAACGGGUGAGUAACACGUGAGUAACCUGCCCUUGACUUUGUGAUAACUUCAGGAAACUGGGGCGAAUACCGGAUAGGAGCUCCUGCUGCAUGGUGGGGGUUGGAAAGUUUCGGCGGUUGGGGAUGGACUCGCGGCGUAUCAGCUUUGUGGUAGGGUAGUGGCUGACAAAGGCUUCGACGGGUACCCGGCCUGAGAGGGUGAUCGGCCAAACGGGAGCGGAGACACGGACCAGACUCCGACGGGAGGCAGCAGUAGGGAAUCUGCAGAAAUGGGCGAAAGCCUGACGGAGCAACGCGGCGUGAGUGAGGAAGGGCUUCGGAUCGUAAAACUCGGUUAUUAGGGAAGAACAAAUGUGUAAGGAACUAUGCACGUCUGGACGGUACAGAAUCAGAAAGCCACGGCUAAAUACGUG
rnacentral:rRNA from 1 species